rnacentral:lncRNA from 1 species
CGGCAGCUAGCGUGGCCCUAGAGGCCAGUGAGCUAGAGCUCUCAGAGAGUGGUGAGGGCAGUGUGGCUGCAGCUGGCCUUGUCCCUGACUCUUGCUCUGGAUUAGGUCCUGGAUUGGUACUUUGCCUACACAGAGCCUGCUCAGGACUCACUAGCAGUCAGGCAGGCAGCCCUUGCUUUUGUGGAGGUGGACAAAGGGCUGGAAGCCUACAGGGAGGCUCUACAGGGCCAGAGCCUGGGGAGAUAGUCCAGUAGAGGCCUGUGUUGCACAUCUAGGCAGGGUGAGGUAGGGUGCAUCUCAGGGCCUUGCUGCUUCAUGCCAGAGCGAAGCACAUUCCUGGAACCCUCCAGAGGCUGGUGUGGUCAGCUGUGCAGAGGGUGGGUGUGAAGGACUGACUAGAGCAGAUCGGAAAGACUGACUUGAAAACUUCAGGGGCCUCUAGGACCACAAGUGAGUAACCCAGCAGCCAUGGGAAGUUGGGCCAGGUCUUAGAGGAAGGUCAGGUUGGACAUUGCUGGUGUGUGAGCGGUGUGGGAAGAGGUGACCAAGGACUAAAACAUAAGGGAGAACCAUUCAACAGGUAGGCAACAGAAGAUAGUGUAGAAAGAGCAGUGGCAGCAGGGAAGGAACACAAGAGAAUCUUUGAGUAUCACCAGGACCAGGAGUGGGUGGAAAGUGAGAACAGGCAGGGUACACGGCCUAACAAAGAUAUUUGAGAGGGUGGCAGAAGGUCUGGAUGGAGACUGCCCUGUAGAGCAGAGCCUGGGGGCAGGGGUGAGUGGACAGUUCCACUGAGGGAGGGCUGCAUCCCCUGUUGGCAGAGGAAUAAUGGGGCCUUGGCAGGUGAGGGGUAGCCUAGGAGCAGGGUUUGGCCCCACAGGUCUGAAUUCUGCUCUCCUGCUUAUGGCUGCUGCUGCCUCAGAGGUCAGAGGAGCCUGGGCAGGGCAGGGGUAUGUUUCUACUGCUGGCUUCUCACAGGCUCAGUCAGUUGGCUCAACUCUUCCAGAGGAUGAUGCUGACAGCCUGGCCUGGCAGCUGGAGGAGGAUGAGGAGUUUCAGGGUUGCCUAGGCCGGCGGAAGGUGAACAGGGUAAGGACCAUGUGCCCCAGUCCCUCCUGUCCUGGCAGCCGUACCCAUCCCUCACACCUCUGCCCCAAGUCAAGGCUACUCUGCCCACAGUGGAACCGUCGCAAUGAUAUGGGGGAGACCCUGCUGCACCGAGCCUGCAUUGAGGGCCAUUUGCGCCGUGUCCAGGACCUUGUGAGGCAGGUAAGCUAUCACGCCAACAGACUGCUUGACCCUAGCUCCAUUAGGGAGGAGCUAUGGGCAUAUUUAGAAUGGGCCCUAAGAUGCCAAGCAGAAUCUGGAUUGGCCUGGCCAGGAUGGGGACUGUUUUACAGACCAGAACCCUGGUGCCCUCCCUCCUACCUCAGGCCCUUCAGCUAGGCACUGUGCCUGCCCCAGGGCACCAAGUGACAUAGGCUAGAGGGUGUGCUGUGGCUGCUCAGCCAGCCUUAUUGGGCAGAAGUGGUACCCCCAUUGAGGAGACCUCAGGCAGUGGAGGAGAGGGCCAGAGCCAGGCUGCAAAGCACACAGGGCCAGGCUCCUUCCUGUCCUUGGUCACAGGGCCACCCCCUGAAUCCUCGGGACUACUGUGGCUGGACACCUCUACAUGAAGCCUGCAACUUUGGACACCUGGGUGAGCAGGGGAUGGGCAAGUCCUGGUGCACAACACGGGGUUUAGAGAGCGGGGAGGGGCUGAGCAGACAUUGGGAGCUGGGCUUAUGUCCCUACCUGCAGAGAUCGUCCGCUUCCUGCUGGACCAUGGGGCUGCAGUGGAUGAUCCAGGUGGCCAGGGGUGUGAGGGCAUUACCCCUCUACAUGACGCCCUUACCUGUGGCCACUUUGAGGUGGCUGAGCUGCUUAUUGAGCGAGGGGCAUCUGUCACCCUCCGAACCAGGAAGGUGAGCUGGAGUAGUGGUGGUGGGUGGGAGGGUGGGUGGGAGCUGCUCUGUUCCCUGCUCAUCUGGGUGCUACACAGGGCCAUAGCCCACUGGAGACACUGCAGCAGUGGGUGAAGUUGUACUGCAGGGACCUAGACCUUGAGACGCGACAGAAGGCAGCAGCCAUGGAGAGGAGGCUCCAGGCGGCUUCUUCAGGCUCAGGCAAGUGGGGCCUUCUUCACCUGCGGAAUUGCCCUGGGCUCUGGGCCCUGACUAACACUCCAGCAUAGGGGGCAGAGAGAGAGUCUGGUAACUGUCUCAUGAUGCAUUCUCCCUCCUACAGCCUCCCCAGCCUCCUGGACCAUCCCAAGUAACCACCUGUUUGAUCCUGAGACCUCUCCUCCCUCAAGCCCCUGCCCAGAACCCCCUUGGCACACUCCUAGGUCCUCAGAGGCCUCUCUAGCCUGCACCAGGGUUUCCCCACAGCAGGCUGCAUCAGUUGUGGCAAGGCCUCGAAGGAGCAGGCAUAGGUUGGCCAGCAGCAGCAGCUCAGAGGGGGAGGACAGUGCUGGGCCCCAAAUGCCAUCCCAGAAGAGGCCAAGGUGCUUUGCCCCAGCACAACGGGAUGAGGCCAGGACAGCUUGCCCUGCCAGCAUCAGGGAGGCGAGUACAGUGAGUGCUGGCCAGGCAGCCUAUCAGGCAGCCAUCCGAGGUGUGGGCAGUGCCCAGAGCCGCUGCCUCAGGCAGGGCCCUUGGGGCCCAGGUGAAGCCCCUACACCCCAGACAGCACUCAUUCCGGAGGAGGAAUACCUGGCUGGAGACUGGCUGGAAUUGGACACACCCCUGCCCCGCAGCCGCCCAUUCCGCCUGCCCCGCCCCCAGGGCAGUGGGGACAGCAACAGGCCCAGUACUGUAGGGCCAGACGAUGAGGAACACCCUGCCAGGCCCCGAACCCGGACCAGGCAGAGCCGCCUGACCUGUCUUGAGAGUUGCAGCACACUGGACAGAGCUGGAGGCAGCAGCUUGGCUGCAGAGCUCUCAGAGAAUCCCAAUGUGCUCAGGGUCCCUGGGGAAAGCCCUGCAACAGGCCAGCCCUCGGUGGGUGACAAGCUGGUAGCAGAGCUAACCCCCAGCUUGGGCAGGUGGAGAUGGAGGCCUCUGUCUUUCCUGACUGCCCUGUCCCCUGUUCCUCCUAUCAGGGUCUAGUACAGCCUCCUCCCAUCCGGAUUCGAGUUCAAGUUCAGGAUAACCUUUUCCUUGUCCCUGUCCCAC